AAGCGAAACGCCCCGCUGGGGCGUCUGCUGGGCGUGGUGGCCCAGCACUGAUGAGCAGCCAAGG
rnacentral:hammerhead_ribozyme from 1 species